rnacentral:lncRNA from 1 species
AUGCGUGCUCUGGGUGCCUGGGCAGGUUGUGACACCCACCUUAUGCUGCAAUGUGAAGAUUUAACCUUUUUUUUCCCCAUAACUUCAGGAUUUUGCAACCGAUUCAGUAUUGUGGUGGGGAAGGGACCUGUGCACAUCAUCCCUUGCUGGGGGCUGAGGAUGCUCGGAGGGGUUUGGGGAAGCCUCAAGCUCCAUCCCAGCCACCACAAAACAUCUGGCGGGGAAACACGGCCCCAGGGGAGGGGACAAAUCCCCACCAGGAGGCUGGGGACAUUUUUGGGGAGCACAACCAGGCUGAGCACCACGGGGGGACACUCGUGUCCUCGAGGCUGGGCUGGCAGGGCCGUGGUGGAGCAGAAAAUCCUCGCCGGAGCCAAUUUCGGCUGCGCUCUCAGUUUCGGGGGCACGGCCACCUUUGAGGGAGGAGAGGUGGAUGACAUUCUCCCAAUUUCUCCCUUUUUUUUUUCCUUCCAGCUGGCACCAAGUGGAAAAGGACCUUGUCGUGGGCGGCCUCGCGGGACCCCGAAAACUCCCCUCAGGAGGAAGGUGGUGGCAGAGGUAAAAAACUGCAGAUCAAGCCCCGGCUGUGAGCGUUGUCCCCACGGCAGCCGACCAGCUCAGGAAAAGCCAAAACCAGGCUUCAUCGCCUGGCACCUACCUCAGGACCCCGUGCCGGGACGUGGCACCCCCUUUUUUGCGUUGAGUUUUGGGAUGUGGUUUGGCCAGGGAGCCCGGCAGCGGCGCGGAGGGAGCGGCGCCCAGUCCGCGUGGCUCAGGGAGGUGGUUUUGUUGAAGCUGUUUGGUUUCUUAUUAUUUUAUUUUCCCAAUAAAUUCUCUUUUAAGGUGGUUUAUUUAAGGCUGAAGGGCACGCGGGCGCUGCUCGGAUGCGGGACCCGAGCGCCCGGUGGUCGUCCACGGCCACGUGUCCGCCUCCAGGUUUGGGACAACGAGCCUGAUGGUCUCAAGUCAUCGGGAUGAGAUGUAGCAGGGCGUAAAGCCCCCACCUGGCUCGGCUUUCCCAAAAUCACAGCCCACCUGCAUCCAUCCUGCUCCGUCCCUUCUCUUUAGGAGUGUUUGGAGCGGAGCCACGUGCCAGGCAUCACCGUGGGCCAAUUCCCUCGCAGCACGCCCGUCCCAGCGGGGUUUUUGCUCUUUUGGAAGACCCCAACCAGCUCUUUUUGGGGUCUUUGGGAAUCCGGACGGGAGCAAAGCAAACCUCCAGGCUGGUAGGAAAUAACCCCGGGACCGCAGCUGCUCCGCGCGUCGUGGGCGCAUCCUAAAUGUCGAGCCGUUGUCCCUGCUGCGGUGUGGAUCUAAUAUCUCACGGCGUGGGUGUGAUGAGCUGUGCAAAUCUCAGCUCCUCCCGGCCGCCUGCUGGCCAGCCAGUGCUGUGGGGCUUUUUUUUGCAUCCGCGGGUUCAAUUUCAACCCCAAAUUCCGUUUGCUUUCGGCCUCUCGGGUGCGAUUUUGAGGACGGGGAGGCAGGAUUUGCCCACCCGCUGUCCCUAAACAGCAGCUCCUGGGGGCAAACUCGAUCUAGGAACCCUUUGGGGGAAGAGGCAGGGCUGCACAAAGCAGGGCUGCGUGCCCCGUGGGGACAUUUUCCUGGCUCUGCCUGCCCGUGCCAAAAUAUUUGUGCACCAACCCCCUUUUUGCUCGCUCCCCACGUGCGCAGCGCCCUUCACCCUGCUGCUGGCAGAGCUCGGCCGUUUUCUUUACACCCCCGAGCCCCUCCUCGGCGUUUCCAACCCGGAGCCAGCUCCAGCAGGCACGGGGGGGUGAGCUCAGGGGGUGCUCGGUGUCCCCGGGGAGCUGGCACCCAGCUGGGCUCGGCCGUGGGGUGGGCGACGAAGCCACCGCGCCGCAGCGGGCUCAGCUGCAACCGCGGCUCCGGCGAGGCUGACGGCUGCGUUUUCACCCCCUCCACGAUCCCAAAGGGGGGGGUUCACAUCCCCGAACGAGCUGGGUGACUGCACCCCACGGACAUGGGGUUGUUGUUACCCCGUCCAUACCCUGCCUGGUUCCUUUUUGGGGUCACGGGAUUUAUGGCACGCAGAGCCCCCCCCUCCCCUCCCCAAAUCCCGGUCAUGUUUCGCCCCAAGUGCCUGGCGCACGGCUCGGGGCAUGGCAGGCCACCGAGGGCCCUAUUAAUUAAUUAAUGCCUCUCGCCUCCCUGGGUUCCUCGUUAUGGGCAGCCAGGGGGUUUAAUGCCACGUGGAGGCGAGCUGGGGGUGGCCGUGUCCCCAGCAUCCCCCCCCCGGUGUCCCCCCUCCUCGGUGCGGCGGGCAGCGCACGGCGUGUGUACGGAGCUCUCCUCGCCCCGAGCUGUUUUUAAUAAAGAUGUCAUCCCCCCCCCUCCCCCCCACCUCGUUACCUCCAUGUCUUUUAUUAACCUGUGCGUUUUGAUAUUUAAAUAAAGGAGUUCCUGCCUCGAAAACAGCGCUCGUCUUUCAGUGGAGUCUCGUGGUGGUGGUGGGGGGGGUGAAACGGGCACAAAUCCCCCUCCUGGCAGAGGGGCUGCACCCCCAAAACCCAAAUCUUCCAGCGUUUGGUUUUUAAGUUGGCUGAAAAAACCUCCAGGAGGGGUUGGCCAGGGAAAGGUGUUUUAAUUUUUCACGUUUUCUAAAAAAAAAAAGGCAUUUUUUACAUGUGCCCGGUGAUGCUUUCUGGCAUCGAGUCAAAAACCUAAAUUCACCCAAAAUCACCCGGGAGGAGAUGGCGAAGUCCCCGGGGGUGGCCGGCGAGGGGUGACGGUGGCCGAGGAGCUUUGGCAGCUCCGGUACCAUCCCCAGCCCAGGGGCACGAGGCUGCAGCCCCCGUUACCGAGCAGGCUAACGAGGAUUAAAGCUCGCACCAAAAUAAUUAAGCGAGGCAAAGGCUCCGAAAGCCCCGGCUCUGCCGCCCACCGGCGCCUUCCCAGGGAAUAUUUUAAUUUAUUGCCAGCUGCUGCGGGGUGAUUGAUUUCCGAAAAGGGAUAAACGCAGCCCCCGGAGGGGUGUCACGGAGCCCUGGUGGUUUUUUUGCCCCCUCAAAGCAGCCCCGAUGGCUCGGCGAUGGGCACGGGGUGGCCAAAGGUGCCGCGCGAGCCCCACAAGGGACAAAUCCCAGGGGACAGCAGCUCCUUGGCAGCGGAGGGGGCCCCGGCGGGGGGACACACACGCACGCACGGGGCUGUGUUUUUGCAGGGCACACCGUAAACAUUUCCUGGAAAUCCCUCCCGUGUGGGCCAGGGCUGCUGGCACAGCUCUUGGUCCCCUGCCGGGGAAGCAGGUGCCGGGGGAGCAGCGCCCUCAAGCGUCGCCCUCGGGGUGGCCGUCCCCUUAGUCCCAUCCCAAGGGUGGGGGGCACAACUCUGGGCAAUUUUAUCCCCCCCUGGGACAAAGUUGACACUCAGGGAUGAUUUUUAAUCCUCCCUAGGGGCUGGAGCCAAGCGAGGGGACGAGCACCGAGACGGUGCCACCAGCCCUACAGUGGGGCACCCCCCGUUACCCCAAUGGGGACGGCCACCUCGUUGUCCCCACGAUGGCCACCCAGGGCCACCAGCCAGCACCCCCACACUCUGGUUUCACACCCAGGGAAACCGAGGCAGCACCCCUAUGGGAUCGAGGCACCCGGCCCCGCUCCGAGGGUUAAAGGAUCGCCCGAGCUGCCCGCUCUAAAAGCACGGGGUGACGCCACCCCGCUGCCAUCCCAUAGCCUCCAACCUGGUUAUGUCACUCGACCGCCCGCGAGUAAACUUAGAUGACCGAGCUGCUCGGCGUGGCGGGGAGGGACGGGGGACGGGGACAUGCCACGGGGCCCUCGGCCGCCCCACUGUACCCGGCCGCCCCGCUAAAAAUACCCCCCAAAGAGGGCAAGCGACGACGGCCCCGCUUGGAGCCCGGCCCGGCCCUAAUCCCUCCGUGGCUCUUGGCCACCGUGGGCGGCUGCUGCUAACGUGGUGGCCCCUGCGGGAAGGGAGCCCAAAAUUUUGGGUGCCCCGAGGGUGUCCCAAGGGUGCCACGGGGCCGUGGUGGCACGGCAGUGGGGUGGUGGCACCCACAGGGUCCCCACAUCCUACAGGCGCCGCCUUUGGGGUCACAACUGGGCUGCAAAAUCUGCUUAUAAUUUUUUUGGGGGGUGUUUUUCCCCUUUUUGGGAGUUUAAGGUAGAGGGGCACGUGCAUGGUGUCAUUCUCUGCGUUUUCCAAGCUGGAGGAGCAGCAUUUUUAUUUCUUUAUUUUUAUUUUUUUUUUUGCUACAAAAUGGAGAAAAAGUGGUUAAAAUCCCCCUACAAAAAUAAAUAAAUAANNNNNNNNNNCCUACAAAAAAAAAAAAAUAAUUUUUUUUUUUUUUUUUUUUUUUUUUUUUACUCCCUGGCUCGGUUUGCUUUGGGUUUUCCCCCAGAUUUUCCCUCUCCAGCCUCACCUCUGCCUGUAACCGUGUCCCCCCUCCAGGGGUUGGGACAAAGCCUCCACCCCCCCACCUCUGUUUUAUUUUGGUAGAAAAAGGAUGGGGAAGGGGACAAAAAGCACCCAGCCCCCCCCCCCGAUUUUAUUUAUCC